AUUGAACGCUGGCGGCAGGCCUAACACAUGCAAGUCGAACGAGUGGCGGACGGGUGAGUAAUGUCUGGGAAACUGCCCGAUGGAGGGGGAUAACUACUGGAAACGGUAGCUAAUACCGCAUACCAUCAGAUGUGCCCAGAUGGGAUUAGCUAGUAGGUGGGGUAAUGGCUCACCUAGGCGACGAUCCCUAGCUGGUCUGAGAGGAUGACCAGCCAAACUGGAACUGAAACACGGUCCAGACUCCUACGGGAGGAAGGAGUGGGGAAUAUUGCACAAUGGGCGCAAGCCUGAUGCAGCCAUGCCGCGUGUAUGAAGAAGGCCUUCGGGUUGUAAAGUACUUUCAGCGGGGAGGCGUUACCCGCAGAAGAAGCACCGGCUAACUCCGUGCCAGCAGCCGCGGUAAUAC
rnacentral:rRNA from 1 species